rnacentral:rRNA from 1 species
AGAAUCAACGCUGGCGGCGUGCCUAACACAUGCAAGUCGAACGAGAAAGUGGAGCAAUCCAUUAGUAAAGUGGCGCACGGGUGAGUAACACGUGACUAACCUACCCUUGAGUGGGGGAUAACCUAGAGAAAUCUGGGCUAAUACCGCAUAAUACCUUCGGGUCAAAGGAGCAAUUCGCUUAAGGAGGGGGUCGCGGCCGAUUAGUUAGUUGGCGGGGUAAUGGCCCACCAAGACUAUGAUCGGUAUCCGGCCUGAGAGGGCGCACGGACACACUGGAACUGAAACACGGUCCAGACUCCUACGGGAGGCAGCAGUGGGGAAUUUGCGCAAUGGGGGAAACCCUGACGCAGCAACGCCGCGUGGAGGAUGAAGCCCCUUGGGGCGUAAACUCCUUUCGAUCGGGACGAUAAUGACGGUACCGAGAGAAGAGCCCGGUUAACUUCGCGCCAGCAGCCGC